UGUUAUGCUCCCAACUUCUGCCUCUGAGCACUUAGAGAAUGCCGUAUAUGUAGUAGCACUUUUCGAAGAAGGAAGAAAGGUGGGAGUCAUUUCCAGGGUAAUUUUGACAAGAGGAACUGUCAUUAUGAACAUGGUGGGUAUGAACUUCUGCCUUCACACUGCCAGGAGAAUGAUGGAAGCAUGGAGAUGA
rnacentral:lncRNA from 1 species